rnacentral:ribozyme from 13 species
UUUUUUGACUUUACUUUCUUUAAUUAGCAGAAGAAAAAAAGAUAAAAAAAAAAAUUAAGAACUCG